UGAACGCUAGCUACAGGCUUAACACAUGCAAGUCGAGGGGCAGCAUGGUCUUAGCUUGCUAAGGCCGAUGGCGACCGGCGCACGGGUGAGUAACACGUAUCCAACCUGCCGUCUACUCUUGGACAGCCUUCUGAAAGGAAGAUUAAUACAAGAUGGCAUCAUGAGUCCGCAUGUUCACAUGAUUAAAGGUAUUCCGGUAGACGAUGGGGAUGCGUUCCAUUAGAUAGUAGGCGGGGUAACGGCCCACCUAGUCUUCGAUGGAUAGGGGUUCUGAGAGGAAGGUCCCCCACAUUGGAACUGAGACACGGUCCAAACUCCUACGGGAGGCAGCAGUGAGGAAUAUUGGUCAAUGGGCGAGAGCCUGAACCAGCCAAGUAGCGUGAAGGAUGACUGCCCUAUGGGUUGUAAACUUCUUUUAUAAAGGAAUAAAGUCGGGUAUGGAUACCCGUUUGCAUGUACUUUAUGAAUAAGGAUCGGCUAACUCCGUGCCAGCAGCCGCGGUAAUACGGAGGAUCCGAGCGUUAUCCGGAUUUAUUGGGUUUAAAGGGAGCGUAGAUGGAUGUUUAAGUCAGUUGUGAAGGUUUGCGGCUCAACCGUAAAAUUGCAGUUGAUACUGGAUAUCUUGAGUGCAGUUGAGGCAGGCGGAAUUCGUGGUGUAGCGGUGAAAUGCUUAGAUAUCACGAAGAACUCCGAUUGCGAAGGCAGCCUGCUAAGCUGCAACUGACAUUGAGGCUCGAAAGUGUGGGUAUCAAACAGGAUUAGAUACCCUGGUAGUCCACACGGUAAACGAUGAAUACUCGCUGUUUGCGAUAUACUGCAAGCGGCCAAGCGAAAGCGUUAAGUAUUCCACCUGGGGAGUACGCCGGCAACGGUGAAACUCAAAGGAAUUGACGGGGGCCCGCACAAGCGGAGGAACAUGUGGUUUAAUUCGAUGAUACGCGAGGAACCUUACCCGGGCUUAAAUUGCAGAUGAAUUACGGUGAAAGCCGUAAGCCGCAAGGCAUCUGUGAAGGUGCUGCAUGGUUGUCGUCAGCUCGUGCCGUGAGGUGUCGGCUUAAGUGCCAUAACGAGCGCAACCCUUGUUGUCAGUUACUAACAGGUUCCGCUGAGGACUCUGACAAGACUGCCAUCGUAAGAUGUGAGGAAGGUGGGGAUGACGUCAAAUCAGCACGGCCCUUACGUCCGGGGCUACACACGUGUUACAAUGGGGGGUACAGAGGGCCGCUACCACGCGAGUGGAUGCCAAUCCCAAAAACCUCUCUCAGUUCGGACUGGAGUCUGCAACCCGACUCCACGAAGCUGGAUUCGCUAGUAAUCGCGCAUCAGCCACGGCGCGGUGAAUACGUUCCCGGGCCUUGUACACACCGCCCGUCAAGCCAUGGGAGCCGGGGGUACCUGAAGUGCGUAACCACGAGGAGCGCCCUAGGGUAAAACUGGUGACUG
rnacentral:rRNA from 1 species